UUUUUUGUUCUUCCUUUGAUCUUUAUCCUUUUAACUUCUGGUUUUUUUCAAAAGCUUUUUUGUAAACUCUGCCAGUUUCAAUGCACUGUCUUUGAUGCAUUUUUGAAUUUGCUGCUACUUUGCUCUUCAUGCAACUCUUAUUUUUCUUGCUGGUUUUAUUUGUUAUCUGUGGGACAGAAGAGAUCAGAUGCCAGGAACCUUAUUGCAUCACUGCACACUGUAACUACUACAUUUAAUUUUCACUUUUUUACCCCUAGAACUUGACUUGCCCACCUCAACUACAUGUGUAGACUGGAAUUCUAAAGUGGGCCCUAUGGAUAACAAGCAAAACACAUCUGUGGCCUUACAUGAAGGUCUCCAGUAUAAUUGAUCUGAGUCUUACAGAACUUAGUCCAGCAAAGUGGUGAUCAUUAGUGAGUUGGGAAGGAAGUCUGCUCACAUUUAUGGUGUUAUUCACUAUGAGCUGGGCAGGACCUCUGCUCCUGGUGAUGGAAUUCUGUGCAAGGGCUUCACCAGCCUCUCACUUCAAUCUGUUCAGCCCUUGAGUAUGAAACUUCUGUUGAUUUCAGUGAGCUAAUAAUGAGGACAGGCAGGUUUUGCUGGCUCACCCAAAGCUGAGGGAAUCAGAUCCAACUGAAAAAGGCUCUUCCCAUCACAUCAAGGCAAAAAGCUUUGAGCCACAGCACUACCCCUUCAGGGAUCUCAAGCAUGAACCCUUUCUCAGAGCUACACCAGAGCUCAAUGGAGUAACACCUAUGUAAAAUGCACAAAGUCCCACCCCUGUGCCUUGGCUAACCUGCCAGAAGGGCACAACCUAUAUUUAUUUGAAAAGAGCUGGAAAAGAGAAAAGAAGCUGCUUUGCAGCCACUGUCACUACAAAGCCCACGUGCUCUUGGACUGAUCAGCUCCAGCAUCAAGAGCAGAUUUGACUCCUGAAGGAGCAUUCAAAAAUAUGACUCAACACAUGAGCAUUUGUAUGUAUGGCAGUCAUGUCUGAAGGGUUCCAGGUGAGGUCUGGGCCAUCCUAGCCCUGCUCUAGCUGGCUGUGCUAGGGUGUCUUGUAAAAUAUUUCAGCAAACAGCCAUUGCAUUGGCUUUUGCCUCUUCUGCAUGUUUUCCUAUGAGAAAGGACAGCAGUCAGAGCAGACAGCCAUGUGCAGAGCACUAAUCCAAAAGAUAAUGGGAAGAAACUUUGCAAGCAGAGAAUUCAAUUCACUUUAUAACAAGCAAAUGUUCAUUUCUCACAGUGACAUCCAGAAUGAGCAAUGCUGGGUUCCUGCCGGCUCAGCUCUUUGUAUAAAGGUUGUGAUAUUUUGUCAGCAAGGAAAACAAAGGUGCUGAGAUGGGCUGGUCAAUAAUUGACUGAGCCUUGUUACUCACUGCAAUCACUAUCUUGUCACCAUGUCUCUGUCUCAAAGUUUCAGUUAAAACUAGUGAAUCACCGCACUGAAAAAGACUUCUUACCUUGGAAAAAAAGGGAAAUUACAAUCACUGACAACAACAACAAAGACUUCCUAUCUGGCUUUGUCAAAGGUCACUCAGCAGUUAAGUCCAUUUACACUGUGACUUCUAUCAGCUGUGAAGAACACAGAACAAAGCGAGCACCAAUAUUCACUCCUCUGGCUUCAAAAAUUUCCAUGGAAACCCUUUUUUCCCCCCCUUUCUUUUUAAGUUACCUCAAUCUUCAAAGAGCCCAACAAGGACAAAGCCUGCACUGGAAGCCACUUUCACUUUGCAUGUGUGACAUUCAUGUUUCCAGCCCACCUGAGAUUCAUAACCUUGA
rnacentral:lncRNA from 1 species